CCCAGACUCCUACGGGAGGCAGCAGUGGGGGAUAUUGCACAAUGGGGGGAACCCUGAUGCAGCGACGCCGCGUGGGUGAAGGAGCGUUUCGGCGCGUAAAGCCCUAUCGGCAGGGAAGAAGGAGGACGGUACCUGACUAAGAAGCCCCGGCUAACUACGUGCCAGCAGCCGCGGUAAUACGUAGGGGGCAAGCGUUAUCCGGAUUUACUGGGUGUAAAGGGGGCGCAGACGGCAGCGCAAGCCAGGAGUGAAAGCCCGGGGCCCAACCCCGGGACUGCUCUUGGAACUGGGCGGCUGGAGUGCAGGAGGGGCAGGCGGAAUUCCUGGUGUAGCGGCGAAAUGCGUAGAUAUCAGGAGGAACACCGGUGGCGAAGGCGGCCUGCUGGACUGCGACUGACGUUGAGGCCCGAAAGCGUGGGGAGCAAACAGGAUUAGAUACCCGAGUAU
rnacentral:rRNA from 1 species